UACGUAGGUGGCAAGCGUUGUUCGGAAUUACUGGGCGUAAAGGGCGCGUAGGCGGUCAGCACAAGUCAGUUGUGAAAUCUCCGGGCUUAACUCGGAAAGGUCAACUGAUACUGUGCGACUAGAGUGCAGAAGGGGCAACUGGAAUUCUCGGUGUAGCGGUGAAAUGCGUAGAUAUCGAGAGGAACACCUGCGGCGAAGGCGGGUUGCUGGGCUGACACUGACGCUGAGGCGCGAAAGCCAGGGGAGCGAACGGG
rnacentral:rRNA from 1 species